GACGAACGCUGGCGGCGUGCCUAACACAUGCAAGUCGAACGGAGUUGCCCUUCGGGACAACUUAGUGGCGAACGGGUGAGUAACGCGUGAGAAACCUGCCUUUCAGUGGGGGACAACAGUUGGAAACGACUGCUAAUACCGCAUAAUGUAUCGAGAGGGCAUCCUCUUGAUACCAAAGAUUUAUUGCUGAAAGAUGGUCUCGCGUCUGAUUAGCUAGUUGGUGAGGUAACGGCUCACCAAGGCGACGAUCAGUAGCCGGUCUGAGAGGAUGAACGGCCACAUUGGGACUGAGAUACGGCCCAGACUCCUACGGGAGGCAGCAGUGGGGAAUAUUGGGCAAUGGGCGAAAGCCUGACCCAGCAACGCCGCGUGAAGGAUGAAGGUUUUCGGAUUGUAAACUUCUUUUGUAGGGAACGAAUAAAUGACGGUACCCUGCGAAUAAGCCACGGCUAACUACGUG
rnacentral:rRNA from 1 species